AAGUAUAUUCCUCUGUAUUAUUUUUGUAGUACCACUUUAUUCUGUGGUCUAAAAGUGAACCCAACUGAAAGGACUCUGUUGGAGACUCUGGAGAAACAGAAGUGGGCUGUCACAAGUAAAAAACCUUUGAGUACAGCUGCUGCCAGCUCCUUGCAAAUGAUGUUUUUAUGAAGUACCAGCUUUUGACUUUUUCAAUAGUGUAAAAGAAACAGCAAGCAGACCACGUUAGCACAAAAUGAGUAAUACACAAUGUCAGUGGGUGAAAAAUUGCCCUGAAGCUAUAAAGGUGUCUUUUCUACAUGCUUUAUUUAAUAGAAAGCAAAGUAAAAGCAAACGUGAAUCUUAGGCAUUGGUAUAGAUUGUAUCAUAGUGCAGAAAUAGUAUGCAAAGCUGAGCAGCUUGCUUGGAGCCUGGGAGGAAAAAAAAAAAGGCAAGGACACUUUCUGGCCAGGCUAGAUAAAAGAGAAUUGACUAUAUAUUUCAUUUGUGUUCCUUGAUUAAUUUCUUUUCUCCUUUCCUUAUCUUCACGCCUUGAGCUCAGGCAGACCAGCGCUUCAUUUCUGAUGAGAAGGCAGCCAUCCAAAAAUCAGCUUAAGGAAAAUGCUGUAUCUCACUGUACUAUUCCCACCGUACACCACUGACGAACGAGGUGUAUGGCAUUAGGAGCUUUCUGAAACAAAAGUGCUCCACACAAGAUGUAAACCAAGGACCCUGGAAUCAGCACUACAUGUGGCACAAGCUCUGCUCCCUUCUUACAUCACAGUCAUAAGAUGGACCACGGAUUCCUGCUUGGUUGUUGGCAUAAGAUGGAACCAUGGAAAUACAAGAAGUGGUAGGACUUUGUACGUGAGUAUGAACAAGUAGAAUAUAGACCCUUAUUCUUCCUGAGGAAAGUUCAACUUCAAAUUUGGCUCCAAGGAAUGAUUUAUCUUCUGCUAGUACUUGUCUCAUCCUGUAGAAUAA